rnacentral:rRNA from 1 species
UACGGAAGGCAGCAGUGGGGAAUAUUGCACAAUGGGCGCAAGCCUGAUGCAGCCAUGCCGCGUGUAUGAAGAAGGCCUUCGGGUUGUAAAGUACUUUCAGCGGGGAGGAAGGCGAUGUGGUUAAUAACCGCGUCGAUUGACGUUACCCGCAGAAGAAGCACCGGCUAACUCCGUGCCAGCAGCCGCGGUAAUACGGAGGGUGCAAGCGUUAAUCGGAAUUACUGGGCGUAAAGCGCACGCAGGCGGUCUGUUAAGUCAGAUGUGAAAUCCCCCGGGCUUAACCUGGGAACUGCAUUUUGAACUGGCAGGCUUGAGUCUCGUAGAGGGGGUAGAAUUCCAGGUGUAGCGGUGAAAUGCGUAGAGAUCUGGAGGAAUACCGGUGGCGAAGGCGGCCCCUGGGACGAGACUGACGCUCAGGUGCGAAAGCGUGGGGAGCAAACAGGAUUAGGAUACC